UCUCUAUAGUAUAGAGGUCAAUUAGAACAAGUUAAGCUAAUUUAAAUUUAUAUUUUUUAAAACAUAAAUGAUAUAAGAUUGGAUUUAUCUCAAUUAGAACAAUCCCAACUAAUUGGCAUUACUCUCCUUAGCAUAGAGGUUCCUCUCAAGAUAGUAGCACUCAUAUUGGACCACUACACCACCCUCCUCUCUCUCUCUCCCGCUCGCUCUCUCUAUGUGUAUGUGUG
rnacentral:lncRNA from 1 species